CACAAGUUUGAGUUUGAAUCACCAAUUUGAACUAAUCAUCAUAAGUAGGUAUUUUUCCAUUACAUAAGCAUGUUUUCAUAAUAAUCACAAGUGAGCUUUUUCAUUUACAAGCAUGAACCAUAAUCAUUCUAUGAGCAUAUUUCAUUACAAGCAUUUUAAAUGAGCUAAUCCUAAUACUAUGGCACCAUGUUACAUCCUAAUGACUAAUACAUAAGCAUCAAAAUACAUGGCUUGAAACAAAAAAAGAAAAUGAGCAUAUUUCUUUGAACUUGGUAGCCCUUUCCUUAAUGUCUCCAUGAUCCAUAUACUUCCAUUUGGCCAUGCCGCUUUGAGAUCAUUUUGUACCUACAAAUCAUCAUCACAAAAUAGUCUAUUAGCAAGCCGUCGUCACUAAAAAUCAUGAACAAGAGCAGAAAUGUUCAAUAAUUCACAACAAAGACAAAACAGCCCAUCAAGCAACAAGUUUUAGUACAUCAACUGAGCCUAACAUCACCAACUAACUCAUAAUAGCAAGUAAUCCAUCAAAAUUUCACAACACAUCAGUUCAUGACAGUCAACAAUCAAACAAUUUCCAUAACAGAAAAAAAACUAACAGAGAAUCAAUUUUAGAUGCAAACUACAAACUGCAACAACAACAGUGACACAACAGUCAUAGCAUCAUGAGCAACUCAUAAGACCUAGCAGGCCAUGGAAGCAAUGUGCAGCAAAGAAAUAAAACCAAAAUCCAUGUCCAUUAUCAGUUGCACAAACAUAUCCAAACAUCAGUUCUCAAUAAGCAACAGUAAUCCAUUUUUCAACAUAAACUACAAAAUCAUGAGCAAUUCGAACCAAGCUAAAAAAAAUCAUGGUCAGCUCAUUCAAAUUGUCACAAGUUUUUCACGUGACACAAUUCAGCUAGACUAAUUUCCAAGCUAAAACUCACAUUUUAUUUUAGAAAAUCCAUUCCAUUUCCAGCUAGAUAAAAUCUGACAGACUCUGAUUCAAUUUCCUAAUCUACCCUCCCUUGGACCACUCUAUAAAAGGAUGAUUAUUCUAUCAUUUGGGGGGGCCCAGAAAUCAUUCCCUCAGACACAUUCUCUCUCAAAUCUCACGCACUCAUUGCAAACAGACCUAGAAUUUCUCACUCAUUGAAGAAGAAGAAACGCUCAGAAGAAGAAGGAGAAUGUUAAGGAAGGAAGAACGAAGAGCAAGCAUACAUACCUGAGCAUCUCUGGUCACCUUCUCCGGCGAGAUAGAUCUUUAACUUCAUCAGUUGCUUCAGCUUUGCAUACCAUGAUGUAGAUCAAGGCUCAUAGAAUCAAAGCCCUUUGGUUUGAGGCUUUGAUUAUUUCUCUUCUUCAUUUAAUUUUUGUUUGAAGCCCUAAGGUUCUUCCAUGUUCUCCUUCGAUUGGAAUUGUAGAUGUUGCUUUUUGCAUAUUGGUGUGUGGGUCUAUAAUCUCAAGACUGAAAGGAGUUGAAUGAUGGUCCAUAUUUGUGGUUUGAGUUCCACCACUACCGACGAUGAGCUCUAGCAAGGCAGAGCGAGAAGAACCUCUGUAGCUCUAUUUGAAUGUAAGAAACGUGGAAAAUGUGACGUUUAUUCCAGGCCACGUGUUGUUGCUUCUUUAGAUUUCCCUUUUGGGCCUAUUUCACCCGAAGCCCGAUGUUUUGGCUUCUUAUACCAUGUUUCAGGCCUCAAACCCCCCUCUGUUCAGAGCUUAAGGCCAGUGAGCCUUGGAUUGGGCCCUUGCGCAUCCUUACUAGUUCCACCACUGUUUUUCACUUUUACACCCCUGAUCUUUGUUUUUUGUUUUAAUAUCUUAUUUUUUUUGUUUUUAUUGUUUUAUUAUUUUUAAUUUCUUGUCAAUAUGAUCACAUACUCUUGAUUUUGUUUCACAUUUUCAAAUAUUUUCUAUUAUAUGAUUAAUAGUUUUUUAAUCCUUUUGAUUUUAUUUUCCUUCUUUCUUUUUGCUAUUGCGUUUCGUAUUUUAAGAGAUUAAUCUGUAUUAACUCUCUAAUACGUUU
rnacentral:lncRNA from 1 species